rnacentral:sRNA from 1 species
GCCAGGUGUGGUGGUGCGUGCCUGUAAUCCCAAUGACUCAGGAGGCUGAGGCAGGAGGAUCCUGAGUUCAAAACAAGUCUUAGCAACUUAGCUAGGCCCUAAGCAAUUUAGCAAGACCCUGUCUCAA